UACGUAGGGUGCAAGCGUUGUCCGGAAUUAUUGGGCGUAAAGAGCUCGUAGGCGGUUUGUCGCGUCUGCUGUGAAAACCCGAGGCUCAACCUCGGGCCUGCAGUGGGUACGGGCAGACUAGAGUGUGGUAGGGGAGACUGGAAUUCCUGGUGUAGCGGUGGAAUGCGCAGAUAUCAGGAGGAACACCGGUGGCGAAGGCGGGUCUCUGGGCCAUUACUG
rnacentral:rRNA from 1 species